rnacentral:rRNA from 1 species
UAGUGAAUCUUCCGCAAUGGACGCAAGUCUGACGGAGCAACGCCGCGUGAGUGAAGAAGGAUUUCGGUUCGUAAAACUCUGUUGUUAGAGAAGAACAGCGCAUAGAGUAACUGUUAUGCGUGUGACGGUAUCUAACCAGAAAGCCACGGCUAACUACGUGCCAGCAGCCGCGGUAAUACGUAGGUGGCAAGCGUUGUCCGGAUUUAUUGGGCGUAAAGCGAGCGCAGGCGGUCAAUUAAGUCUGAUGUGAAAGCCCCCGGCUCAACCGGGGAGGGUCAUUGGAAACUGGUUGACUUGAGUGCAGAAGAGGAGAGUGGAAUUCCAUGUGUAGCGGUGAAAUGCGUAGAUAUAUGGAGGAACACCGGUGGCGAAAGCGGCUCUCUGGUCUGUAACUGACGCUGAGGCUCGAAAGCGUGGGGAGCGAACAGG